rnacentral:rRNA from 1 species
AUUGAACGCUGGCGGCAGGCCUAACACAUGCAAGUCGAGCGAGCGGCGGACGGGUGAGUAAUGUCUGGGAAACUGCCUGAUGGAGGGGGAUAACUACUGGAAACGGUAGCUAAUACCGCAUACCAUCAGAUGUGCCCAGAUGGGAUUAGCUUGUUGGUGGGGUAAUGGCUCACCUAGGCGACGAUCCCCAGCUGGUCUGAGAGGAUGACCAGCCACACUGAAACUGAGACACGGUCUAGACUCCUACGGGAGGCAGCAGUGGGGAAUAUUGCACAAUGGGCGCAAGCCUGAUGCAGCCAUGCCGCGUGUAUGAAGAAGGCCUUCGGGUUGUAAAGCACUGUCAGCGGGGAGGCGUUACUCGCAGAAGAAGCACCGGCUAACUCCGUGCCAGCCGCCGCGGUAAUUC